rnacentral:rRNA from 1 species
AAGUCAGAUGUGAAAGCCUUCUGUUCAACGGAAGAACUGCAUCUAAAACUGCAAACCUUGAGUACAGGAGGGGAGAGUGGAACUUCUGGUGGAGCGGUGAAAUGCGUAGAUAUCAGAAGGAACGCCGGCGGAAAGGAUUCUCUGGCCUAUUACUGACACUGAGUGUGCGAAAGUAGGGGAGCAAACGGGAUUAGAUACCCCGGUAGUCCUAGCCGUAAACGAU